GGAUUAAAGUUUGAUCAUGGCUCAGGCAUGAGCGGUAGCGGCGUGCCUAAUACAUGCAAGUCGAGCGAAUGGAUUAAGAGCUUGCUCUUAUGAAGUUAGCGGCGGACGGGUGAGUAACACGUGGGUAACCUGCCCAUAAGACUGGGAUAACUCCGGGAAACCGGGGCUAAUACCGGAUAACAUUUUGCACUGCAUGGUGCGAAAUUGAAAGGCGGCUUCGGCUGUCACUUAUGGAUGGACCCGCGUCGCAUUAGCUAGUUGGUGAGGUAACGGCUCACCAAGGCAACGAUGCGUAGCCGACCUGAGAGGGUGAUCGGCCACACUGGGACUGAGACACGGCCCAGACUCCUACGGGAGGCAGCAGUAGGGAAUCUUCCGCAAUGGACGAAAGUCUGACGGAGCAACGCCGCGUGAGUGAUGAACGCGCUUUNCGGGUCGUAAAACUACUGUUGUUAGGGAAGAACAAGUGCUAGUUGAAUAAGGCUGGCACCUUGAACGGGUUACCCUUUAAACCCCAGG
rnacentral:rRNA from 1 species